rnacentral:tRNA from 1 species
GGGCGAUUAGCUCAGCUGGCUAGAGCGCCACGUUGACAUCGUGGAGGUCACAGGUUCGAGUCCUGUAUCGCCCA